rnacentral:rRNA from 1 species
AGAGUUUGAUCAUGGCUCAGAACGAACGCUGGCGGCGUGGAUUAGGCAUGCAAGUCGAACGCAUCAUUUAGCUUUUUCGAAUGAUGAGUGGCGAAAGGGUGAGUAACGCGUGGGCAACCUGCCCUAAGGUGGGGGAUAACCUGUCGAAAGACGGGCUAAUACCGCUUAUGUUUCCAGGCUGAGAUGCUUGGAUGCAAAGAUGGGGAUUUCUUCGGAAACCUGUCGCCUUUGGAUGGGCCCGCGUCCUAUCAGCUAGUUGGUGAGGUAAUGGCUCACCAAGGCUAAGACGGGUAGCUGGUCUGAGAGGAUGGUCAGCCACACUGGGACUGAGACACUGCCCAGACACCUACGGGUGGCUGCAGUCGAGAAUCUUCCGCAAUGGGGGCAACCCUGACGGAGCGACGCCGCGUGCAGGAUGAAGGUCUUCGGAUUGUAAACUGCUGUCAGCAGGGAAGAACAGGUGCUCGGCUAAUAACCAGGCAUUUUGACGGUACCUGCAGAGGAAGCCACGGCUAACUUCGUGCCAGCAGCCGCGGUAAUACGAAGGUGGCUAGCGUUGUUCGGAUUUAUUGGGCGUAAAGGGUCCGCAGGCGGUUUGAUAAGUCAGGUGUGAAAUCCAACAGCUUAACUGUUGACACGCAUUUGAUACUGUUAGACUAGAGUAUGAGAGGGGUGAGAGGAAUUUCCAGUGUAGGGGUGAAAUCCGUAGAUAUUGGAAAGAACACCGGCCGCGAAGGCGUUUCACUGGCUCAUUACUGACGCUCAGGGACGAAAGCUAGGGGAGCAAACGGGAUUAGAUACCCUAGUAGUCC